rnacentral:rRNA from 1 species
GACGAACGCUGGCGGCGUGCUUAACACAUGCAAGUCGAACGGAAAGGCCCUGCUUUUGUGGGGUGCUCGAGUGGCGAACGGGUGAGUAACACGUGAGUAACCUGCCCUUGACUUUGGGAUAACUUCAGGAAACUGGGGCUAAUACCGGAUAUGAGCUCCUGCUGCAUGGUGGGGGUUGGAAAGUUUCGGCGGUUGGGGAUGGACUCGCGGCUUAUCAGCUUGUUGGUGGGGUAGUGGCUUACCAAGGCUUUGACGGGUAGCCGGCCUGAGAGGGUGACCGGCCACAUUGGGAAUGAGAUACGGCCCAGACUCGUACGGGAGGCAGCAGUGGGGAAUAUUGCACAAUGGGCGGAAGCCUGAUGCAGCAACGCCGCGUGCGGGAUGACGGACUUCGGGUUGUAAACCGAUUUCGCCUGUGACGAAGCGUGAGUGACGGUAAUGGGUAAAGAAGCACAGGCUAACUACGUG